CCUACGGGAGGCAGCAGUGGGGAAUAUUGGACAAUGGGCGAAAGCCUGAUCCAGCAAUGCCGCGUGAGUGAUGAAGGCCUUAGGGUUGUAAAGCUCUUUUACCAGGGAUGAUAAUGACAGUACCUGGAGAAUAAGCUCCGGCUAACUCCGUGCCAGCAGCCGCGGUAAUACGGAGGGAGCUAGCGUUGUUCGGAAUUACUGGGCGUAAAGCGUACGUAGGCGGUUAUUCAAGUCAGAGGUGAAAGCCCGGGGCUCAACCCCGGAACGGCCUUUGAAACUAGAUAGCUAGAAUCUUGGAGAGGUUAGUGGAAUUCCGAGUGUAGAGGUGAAAUUCGUAGAUAUUCGGAAGAACACCAGUGGCGAAGGCGACUAACUGGACAAGUAUUGACGCUGAGGUACGAAAGCGUGGGGAGCAAACAGGAUUAGAUACCCUGGUAGUCCACGCCGUAAACGAUGAUAACUAGCUGUUCGGGCACUUGGUGCUUGAGUGGCGCAGCUAACGCAUUAAGUUAUCCGCCUGGGGAGUACGGUCGCAAGAUUAAAACUCAAAGGAAUUGACGG
rnacentral:rRNA from 1 species